GACGUGAUACCGACCUAUCGCUCGACGAGGAUCCUUACGCUUGGAUACCACGUUAGCCGUAUAUCAUUGCAGUACUGUUGCUCGGUGUACGAGUGUGAGCCAUAGUGACCGCACCUGCUUCCGCCAUCACCUUCUGUAGGUUACCUGGUUAACCUACUGUAUUCCUUGUCUAUUUAUAUUCCUAGAAUGCUCUGAUUACUAAGGGAUGUGUGACCCAACUUUGAUGUAUUAUAUUUGGGGUCUAUGACCUAACUUUGGUGAUUGUAGUAACUUAUACCCUUUGGAGAUUAUGUUUAAUGUUUUUAACUUUGAGAUGGUUUGGAUGAAUUUGGGAGCAGGGUGGCUCCAGGAGUUAUGGGAGGUUAUGCCGAAAUUUUUGGUAAAUCUCCUUUAA
rnacentral:lncRNA from 1 species